rnacentral:rRNA from 1 species
AUGCACGCUGGCGGCGUGCCUAAUACAUGCAAGUCGCGCGCACAGACGAGGAGCUUGCUCCUCUGACGUUAGCGGCGGACGGGUGAGUAACACGUGGAUAACCUACCUAUAAGACUGGGAUAACUUCGGGAAACCGGAGCUAAUACCGGAUAAUAUAUUGAACCGCAUGGUUCAAUAGUGAAAGACGGUUUUGCUGUCACUUAUAGAUGGAUCCGCGCCGCAUUAUCUAGUUGGUAAGGUAACGGCUUACCAAGGCGACGAUGCGUAGCCGACCUGAGAGGGUGAUCGGCCACACUGGAACUGAGACACGGUCCAGACUCCUACGGGAGGCAGCAGUAGGGAAUCUUCCGCAAUGGGCGAAAGCCUGACGGAGCAACGCCGCGUAAGUGAUGAAGGUCUUCGGAUCGUAAAACUCUGUUAUUAGGGAAGAACAAAUGUGUAAGUAACUAUGCACGUCUUGACGGUACCUAAUCAGAAAGCCACGGCUAACUACGUG